rnacentral:rRNA from 1 species
UACGAAGGGGGCUAGCGUUGCUCGGAAUUACUGGGCGUAAAGCGCACGUAGGCGGAUUGUUAAGUCGGGGGUGAAAUCCUGGAGCUCAACUCCAGAACUGCCUUCGAAACUGGCGAUCUUGAGUUCGGGAGAGGUGAGUGGAACUGCGAGUGUAGAGGUGAAAUUCGUAGAUAUUCGCAAGAACACCAGUGGCGAAGGCGGCUCACUGGCCCGAUACUGACGCUGAGACGCGAAAGCGUGGGGAGCGAACAGG